GCCAGUGUGACGUAGUGGUUUGAGCAGUGGACUACGACUCUGGAGAGCAGGGUUCGAAUCCCUUCUCAGCCA